rnacentral:lncRNA from 1 species
UAUCAAUAUACUGUGGAGAUGGAAAAUAAUAACAAAGAAAUGAAAACCCUGUUACAGUGGAAAACUGUAUCAAAUAUCUGAUAUCUGGUAUCAAUUGUUGUGUCAAAGUAACUUUUCGUAUUGGAUAAUAUAUAAAUAGCUCUUCAAGUGCUUUGAGUUUGGGGCUUUUUCAGACUAUGGUGGAUCAAGCUAUAAUUUUCGCCAGUGACAUUGUUAACAGGUAUUGUACACGUACAUAUACAAAGUUUUGAUUUUGUUCAUCCUUGUAUUUCUGCACAUUUGAUUAAUGAAAUGAAUUAAGUUUUUUGAUUAAAAAAAAAAUUCAAUUAGUAGUACUGUAUAAUAGUUUUCUAACUUCAUGUCACUUGUAGUGGCAGGUUCUUC